rnacentral:rRNA from 1 species
GACGAACGCUGGCGGCGUGCUUAACACAUGCAAGUCGAACGAUGACGCCCGAACUUGCUCGGUCUGAUUAGUGGCGAACGGGUGAGUAACACGUGAGCAACCUGCCCUUCACUUUGGGAUAACCUCGGGAAAUCGGGGUUAAUACCGUAUCUGAGCCCCCGUCGCAUGGCGGGCGUUGGAACGUCAGUCGGUGAACGAUUGGCUCGCGGCCUAUCGGUUUGUUUGUGUGGUAGUGGCUCACCAAGGCGAUGACGGGUAGCCGGCCUGGGAGGGGGACCGGCCACACUGGGACUGAGAGACGGCCCAGACGCGUACGGGAGGCAGCAGUGGGGAAUAUUGCACAAUGGGCGAAAGCCUGAUGCAGCGACGCCGCGUGAGGGAUGACGGCCUUCGGGUUGUAAACCUCUUUCAGCAGGGAAGAAGCGAAAGUGACGGUACCUGCAGAAGAAGCGCCGGCUAACUACGUG